CACUUCAGGAGACCUCUGCAGAAGGCAGAAUAUCCACACAAGUGGCCUCCUUCCCCUGCAGCCCUAGAGUCUCCUGAAGACCCUCUCCAGCACCAUAUUCACAGGGACCCCCUACCUGAAUGAGAGGCUUUCUCCCAGAGCUGGAGGAAGCCAGGAGGCUGUUGGCAGGACUGAGCUACAGGCAGACAGCACCAGUUAGCCAACAGAGCAGGGUCUUCUUGGUGAACAGAUGUGGUGUUGGAGAAGGCCAUGCACAAAUGCAUCUUGAAGCCCCUCAAGGGCCACGUGGAGGCCAUGCUGAAGGACUUCCACACGGCUGAUGGCUCGUGGAAACAACUCAAGGAAAACCUACAGCUUGUGCGGCAGAGAAACCCGCAGGAGCUGGGGGUCUUUGCUCCAACCCCUGACUUGAUGGAGCUGGAGAAGAUCAAGCUGAAAUUCAUGACCAUGCAGAAGAUGUAUUCGCCAGAAAAGAAAGUCAUGCUUUUGCUACGGGUCUGUAAGCUCAUCUACACUGUCAUGGAGAACAACUCAGGGAGGAUGUACGGGGCGGACGACUUCUUGCCGGUCCUGACCUAUGUCAUAGCUCAGUGUGAUAUGCUUGAAUUGGACACUGAAAUCGAGUACAUGAUGGAGCUCCUAGACCCAUCACUGCUGCAUGGAGAAGGAGGCUAUUACUUGACCAGUGCCUAUGGGGCUCUAUCUCUGAUAAAGAACUUCCAAGAAGAACAGGCUGCAAGACUGCUCAGCUCAGAAGCCAGGGACACUCUGAGGCAGUGGCACAAGCGGAGAACCACCAACCGGACUAUCCCCUCCGUGGAUGACUUUCAGGUACACACCCAAGUCCCAACCCUGCUUCUCUGUCUUCCAGGAAGGUAGAACUGCCUGAGACCCUGGCUCGGACAGAAGGAAUGACCUUGUGGAAAAGAAAAAAAAUUAAGCCACCCUCUGGCCUAGCUGUGUCACUCCCGAGCCUUUAGACGUGUACACAGUGGCACCUUGACUUUCAAUGGGCCCUGUCCUCAUUGGCAUUGACCAUAUCUAACCCGUUGAAUAUCUACAGUGGGAAGGGUUGUUGUGUUGCAUUGUGAUCCUGUAGUUGACAGUCAGGACAAGUUCACCAUGUCAGCAUCAUCAGGAGGAUGAUAUCCAAUAUAGCCAGCCUGGGAGAGGGAAGGUACAAAUUCAAAACCUGCCUGUUAGGGUAGUUCAGUAGUUAGACUGCAUGUGCCAAAAA
rnacentral:lncRNA from 1 species